rnacentral:rRNA from 1 species
UACGUAGGGUGCAAGCGUUGUCCGGAAUUAUUGGGCGUAAAGAGCUCGUAGGCGGUUUGUCGCGUCUGCUGUGAAAUCCCGAGGCUCAACCUCGGGUCUGCAGUGGGUACGGGCAGACUAGAGUGCGGUAGGGGAGAUUGGAACUCCUGGUGUAGCGGUGGAAUGCGCAGAUAUCAGGAAGAACACCCGUGGCGAAGGCGGCUCUCUGGAACGCAACUGACGCUGAGACGCGAAAGCGUGGGGAGCAAACAGG